CAAAAAGCAAAGACAGAUUACGCUCGCUUUAACAAUGCUGUCUAGGUGCCAAAUGAGCUCAUUAGGUUUGGAUGAAAUGGAGAGGAAUAUUGCAGAUAUGGAAUGGACCAUUUGCAAGACGAAUGUAAACAUCAGUAGAGAAAGGGAUGCUCUAAACACUAGAAAUGUAAAAGACAGAUUGAGGGCCAAUUUAACAGUGUUGAAAAUUUAGGCUUCUAUUUGCAGCUAAUUAUA